rnacentral:SRP_RNA from 1 species
GCCAGGCGUGGUGGCGUGCGCCUGUAAUCCCAGCUACUCGGGAGGCUGAGGCAGGGGAAUUGCUUGAACCAGGGAGGUGAAGGUUGCAGUGAGCCAAGAUUGUGCCACUGCACUCUAGCCUUGGUGACAGAGCGAGACUCCGUCUCAA